rnacentral:sRNA from 1 species
UGACCACUCCCACAAGGACGUUAAGGCCAUACGGACAGCCGGGUCAAAUGCCGA